GAUGAACGCUGGCGGCGUGCCUAAUACAUGCAAGUCGAGCGAACGGACGAGAAGCUUGCUUCUCUGAUGUUAGCGGCGGACGGGUGAGUAACACGUGGAUAACCUACCUAUAAGACUGGGAUAACUUCGGGAAACCGGAGCUAAUACCGGAUAAUAUUUUGAACCGCAUGGUUCAAAAGUAAAAGACGGUCUUGCUGUCACUUAUAGAUGGAUCCGCGCUGCAUUAGCUAGUUGGUAAGGUAACGGCUUACCAAGGCAACGAUGCAUAGCCGACCUGAGAGUGUGAUCGGCCACACUGGAACUGAGACACGGUCCAGACUCCUACGGGAGGCAGCAGUAGGGAAUCUUCCGCAAUGGGCGAAAGCCUGACGGAGCAACGCCGCGUGAGUGAUGAAGGUCUUCGGAUCGUAAAACUCUGUUAUUAGGGAAGAACAUAUGUGUAAGUAACUGUGCACAUCUUGACGGUACCUAAUCAGAAAGCCACGGCUAACUACGUG
rnacentral:rRNA from 1 species